rnacentral:rRNA from 1 species
AUUAGAUACCCUGGUAGUCCACGCCGUAAACGAUGUCUACUUGGAGGUUGUGCCCUUGAGGCGUGGCUUCCGGAGCUAACGCGUUAAGUAGACCGCCUGGGGAGUACGGCCGCAAGGUUAAAACUCAAAUGAAUUGACGGGGGCCCGCACAAGCGGUGGAGCAUGUGGUUUAAUUCGAUGCAACGCGAAGAACCUUACCUGGUCUUGACAUCCACAGAACUUUCCAGAGAUGGAUUGGUGCCUUCGGGAACUGUGAGACAGGUGCUGCAUGGCUGUCGUCAGCUCGUGUUGUGAAAUGUUGGGUUAAGUCCCGCAACGAGCGCAACCCUUAUCCUUUGUUGCCAGCGRUYMGGYCGGGAACUCAAAGGAGACUGCCAGUGAUAAACUGGAGGAAGGUGGGGAUGACGUCAAGUCAUCAUGGCCCUUACGACCAGGGCUACACACGUGCUACAAUGGCGCAUACAAAGAGAAGCGACCUCGCGAGAGCAAGCGGACCUCAUAAAGUGCGUCGUAGUCCGGAUUGGAGUCUGCAACUCGACUCCAUGAAGUCGGAAUCGCUAGUAAUCGUGGAUCAGAAUGCCACGGUGAAUACGUUCCCGGGCC